UACGUAGGGUGCAGGCGUUAAUCGGAAUUACUGGGCGUAAAGCGUGCGCAGGCGGUUUGCUAAGAGAGAUGUGAAAUCCCCGGGCUUAACCUGGGAACUGCGUUUCUAACUGGCAGGCUUGAGUGUGGCAGAGGGGGGUGGAAUUCCACGUGUAGCAGUGAAAUGCGUAGAUAUUUGGAGGAACACCGAUGGCGAAGGCAGCCCCCUGGGCUAACACUGACGCUCAUGCACGAAAGCGUGGGGAGCAAACAGG
rnacentral:rRNA from 1 species